UACCUAGGGUGCAAGCGUUGUCCGGAAUUAUUGGGCGUAAAGAGCUCGUAGGCGGUUUGUCGCGUCUGGUGUGAAAAUCCAGGGCUUAACCCUGGACCUGCAUCGGGUACGGGCAGACUAGAGUGCGGUAGGGGAGAUCGGAAUUCCUGGUGUAGCGGUGAAAUGCGCAGAUAUCAGGAGGAACACCGGUGGCGAAGGCGGAUCUCUGGGCCGUAACUGACGCUGAGGAGCGAAAGCAUGGGGAGCGAACAGG
rnacentral:rRNA from 1 species